GACGAACGCUGGCGGCGUGCUUAACACAUGCAAGUCGAACGGAAAGGCCCUGCUUUUGUGGGGUGCUCAAGUGGCGAACGGGUGAGUAACACGUGAGUAACCUGCCCUUGACUUUGGGAUAACUUCAGGAAACUGGGGCUAAUACCGGAUAGGAGCUCCUGCUGCAUGGUGGGGGUUGGAAAGUUUCGGCGGUUGGGGAUGGACUCGCGGCUUAUCAGCUUGUUGGUGGGGUAGUGGCUUACCAAGGCUUUGACGGGUAGCCGGCCUGAGAGGGUGACCGGCCACAUUGGGACUGAGAUACGGCCCAGACUCCUACGGGAGGCAGCAGUGGGGAAUAUUGCACAAUGGGCGGAAGCCUGAUGCAGCAACGCCGCGUGCGGGAUGACGGCCUUCGGGUUGUAAACCGCUUUCGCCUGUGACGAAGCGUGAGUGACGGUAAUGGGUAAAGAAGCACCGGCUAACUACG
rnacentral:rRNA from 1 species